rnacentral:rRNA from 1 species
AUGAACGCUGGCGGCAGGCCUAACACAUGCAAGUCGAGCGGUUGAAGGUAGCUUGCUACCUGAUGCAGCGGCGAACGGGUGAGUAAUGCAUGGGAAUCUGCCUGGUAGUGGGGGACAACGUCUCGAAAGGGACGCUAAUACCGCAUACGCCCUACGGGGGAAAGGGGGGGAUCUUCGGACCUCUCGCUAUCAGAUGAGCCCAUGUCGGAUUAGCUAGUUGGUGGGGUAAAGGCCUACCAAGGCGACGAUCCGUAACUGGUCUGAGAGGAUGAUCAGUCACACUGGAACUGAGACACGGNCCAGACUCCUACGGGAGGCAGCAGUGGGGAAUAUUGGACAAUGGGCGCAAGCCUGAUCCAGCCAUGCCGCGUGUGUGAAGAAGGCCUUCGGGUUGUAAAGCACUUUCAGUGGGGAGAAAGGUGAUUCACCUAAUACGUGAGUCAAUUGAUGUUACCCACAGAAGAAGCACCGGCUAACUUCGUGCCAGCAGCCGCGUAAUACGAAGGGUGCAA